UAGAUACCCUAUUAUUUUAAUAAGAAGUUUAAGAUACUUGAGUAGUAAAUAGGUAUGGGCUAGAAACUUAAAGAAUUUGGCGGUAUUUUAGUCUUAUUAGAGGAGGUUGCCCUGUAAACGAUACAACGCGUAAGAUCUUUCUUCUUUUUGUAAUUUCAGUUUGUAUAUCGUCAUUAUAAAUAUUUUAUAAAAAUAUAUAUUGGAAUAAGUUAACUACUUAAUAUAUUAGAUCAAGGUGCAGCUUAUAGGGAAGUAUGAGGUGAGCUACAAUAAGAUUGAUUUAAAUGGAUUUAAAAGUUGAAAGUCAUUUUUUGAAGGUGGAUUUAAAAGUAAUUAUAUUUUAAUAAGAUAUGGUGAAUGCUGAGCUCUAAGAUAUGUACACAUCGCCC
rnacentral:rRNA from 1 species